rnacentral:rRNA from 1 species
CAGGUCACUCCUACGGGAGGCAGCAGUGGGGAAUAUUGGACAAUGGGGGCAACCCUGAUCCAGCAAUGCCGCGUGAGUGAUGAAGGCCUUAGGGUUGUAAAGCUCUUUUGCCAGGGACGAUGAUGACGGUACCUGGAGAAUAAGCCCCGGCUAACUUCGUGCCAGCAGCCGCGGUAAUACGAAGGGGGCUAGCGUUGUUCGGAAUUACUGGGCGUAAAGGGCGCGUAGGCGGUCUGAUAAGUUAGAUGUGAAAUUCCCGGGCUUAACCUGGGGGCUGCAUUUGAUACUGUCAGGCUUGAAUCCAGGAGAGGAUAGUGGAAUUCCCAGUGUAGAGGUGAAAUUCGUAGAUAUUGGGAAGAACACCAGUGGCGAAGGCGGCUAUCUGGACUGGCAUUGACGCUGAGGCGCGAAAGCGUGGGGAGCAAACAGGAUUAGAUACCCUGGUAGUCCACGCCGUAAACGAUGAACGCUAGACGCUGGUAGGUUUACCUAUCGGUGUUGCAGCUAACGCAUUAAGCAUUCCGCCAGGGGAGUACGGUCGCAAGAUUAAAACUUAAAGGAAUUGACG